GAGAAUGACAGAAAACAGUAAAUAAAAACAAAUCGGUCGCGACGUCGCGAUUCGCCGCGAACCGCGAAUUUUAUUCGUUUUCGUCGAUUUUGAGAGGGUUUUCGUUCCGAAAACGCCCUCGGUCGUGUGUUUGAGUCCUUCCCCUGCAGAAGGAAGAGACUCCAACGUGAAAAUCCCCGCUGAAAGGGGGCAAAAGUGUUUUUUUUUUAUUCUCCAAAUGGGAAUGAGGAAUCUUCCCGACGAUGGGAAUAGUGUAAGGUUUUUUUUAUGUUUCCCAGCCUACAAGCGGCUGGUUCACCGUGUUGGUAAGUGUCACGGUAAACAAAAAGUGGUGUUCGCUGCAACCGGAGCAGCUAUAUGGAAUUUUCGACGCUGGCAGUACAGGUGACCCGUACCCAAACAAAGGGAUUCGGCAUCAACCUAUGCCACGGGGAAAAACUGACUACGCUGGUUUAAUAAGAUUCGCCGGCCAGAAUCCGAGAUUCUUCCCAUUCGAAUCGACCAACUCAUAGGAAGAAACACCGCGCCGACGAAGAACUUUCGCGGAUCGUCGUCUGAAGCGCCUGAAGUUCGACUGAAGUCAUCUCCCGAAGCCAUUUCUUCACCAUGGACAAUAAAGAAAUGACCAAACUCCUUCGACACGAAGGUGGAAGCGUUGUCGCUCAGAAGAACUUCAGGACACCCGUGACGAUUAAACCACUGCUCCCGAAGAAUGGAACAAAGGGAGCUGCUUUGGAUUUUCCGGACAGGGGCCAACAUGACGUAUUUGCUAAACACGUCUAGCACAACAAGCAGGUGUUGGUUUCCCCGUUUACUUCUUGGGAGUGGGCCAAUAUAGUCCACCGAAAUUAUCCUCCAUGGUGAGUUUGAUGUUCGGGCCUGCCGGGGAAGUACCGGCUGCAUCUGCAUCUACCGCUGAGGCUGUCACUAUACUGCUAUUGGUACCAAAAGCUAUUAACUCUUCAAAUAAGUGUUUUAUUUGUUCUCAAAAGAACAAUUGUUCAAUUCAAAAUCGGAUUUACGCAAUCGCAUCUCUGUAAUAUUACCGACAAUAAUAUUCUUC